UACGUAGGGGGCAAGCGUUGUCCGGAUUUAUUGGGCGUAAAGAGCGUGUAGGCGGCCAGGUAGGUCUGCUGUGAAAACUCGAGGCUUAACCUCGAGCUGUCGGCGGAAACCAUCUGGCUAGAGUCCGGAAGAGGAGAAUGGAAUUCCCGGUGUAGCGGUGAAAUACGCAGAUAUCGGGAAGAACACCCGUGGCGAAGGCGGUUCUCUGGGA
rnacentral:rRNA from 1 species